UUCCGAGCUGUGAAAGAAAUUUUUUAAAUAACAAAAACUUUCUAAGACCUAGAGCGACCCAGAUCCCCCAUUUCCGUUUUCCCAUUUCCCAAUAUACUCAUGAGGCCUGUAAAUUCACUUAAGGUCCUAUCUCCUUCUAAGGACAAUUUGCAUCAAUGACUGAUCAAUACUGAGACAUAAAGAUCCACCCGACUUGUCCCAACUCUGGAUGACUCUGAAAGACCAUCCCAGCUCCAGGACUUCCUAUGGGACUAGCUGAGGACUUUGUUGGGAGUGCUUCACAAUUCAGCUUCUCCCUCUGCCUAAUCAGGCUUCCUUCUAUUGGUGUUGAUCCCAAGAACAGUCUAUUAAACAUCUUGUAUGCUAA